AUUGAACGCUGGCGGCAGGCCUAACACAUGCAAGUCGAACGGUAACAGGAAGAAGCUUGCUUCUUUGCUGACGAGUGGCGGACGGGUGAGUAAUGUCUGGGAAACUGCCUGAUGGAGGGGGAUAACUACUGGAAACGGUAGCUAAUACCGCAUAACGUCGCAAAACCAAAGAGGGGGACCUUCGGGCCUCUUGCCAUCGGAUGUGCCCAGAUGGGAUUAGCUAGUAGGUGGGGUAACGGCUCACCUAGGCGACGAUCCCUAGCUGGUCUGAGAGGAUGACCAGCCACACUGGAACUGAGACACGGUCCAGACUCCUACGGGAGGCAGCAGUGGGGAAUAUUGCACAAUGGGCGCAAGCCUGAUGCAGCCAUGCCGCGUGUAUGAAGAAGGCCUUCGGGUUGUAAAGUACUUUCAGCGGGGAGGAAGGGGGUAAAGUUAAUACCUUUGCUCAUUGACGUUACCCGCAGAAGAAGCACCGGCUAACUCCGUG
rnacentral:rRNA from 1 species